UAACAACACACAACAUUCCAGGAAUGUACUACCAAAGUUCUAUCAAUAUUUGAAUGUCCUGGACAUUUAGGGAACAUUCGGUGAACAUCUGUUUAAAUUAUUCCUGGAAUGUUACCAUAAGACAUUCUGUGAACAUACUACCAAUGUUCCUAUAUUUUAAGUUGCGAAAUAAUACAUACGUGUAACAGAUUCAGAUACAACAUUACUUAUAACAUACCAGACAAACUAAGUGACAUUUUAGGCCUACAGUGUCAAAUUUAAAGAGUUUCCCAAGUUCAAUUAAUACAAUAUUAUAAACAUACAAAUGUAAUAAAAAUUAUUGUUCGCGAAUAUUCAAUUUGGAAUGCGAUUUUGUUAAUAAAAAAAUACUUAUAACUUAUGCAAAACCCAAGAGAGGCAUUAUUUAUAUUUAUUUCUUUUGCGUUCAUUUUCAAAUUCGCCGUGCAUAUAUUUUUGUGCAUGGCGCUUGAGAGGGCAUCACGUGACUAAAAACGACCAACCAACGAUCUCGCUUCGGCCAUCUUGGCAUCUUCAUUUUCAUUUCAUCUUUGCCACCUUGCCCGCCCUUGCCUUGCCGUGGAUAGUUUGUAUUAUUUGUGCUUUUUAAGAAUAUUUUUUUAAUUCGGAUACUUUUAUAAUAGCUUUAAUAGUAUUAUUAACAUAGUGCAUAAAAUGGUGUCCUGUUUUUGACGCAGUUGGAGUAGCAGAAACAAAUGUAGAUAAAAAAAUCUGCAGGAAUAACGUUUCAAUUAUGACAGAAGCUCGAAACAAAUGACUGUGAAUUAGUGUGAAUGAAAAGCCCUAUUAAAAGCUUUCCAGAAGAUCGUGCGAAGAAGACAUGAAGUAUAGAUCAGAUUUGUUAAUAGAGGAGUAUGUUCAAAACACUUUUUAGAAAAAGAUAUUGACAGAACUUCACUUUCAUCUGUUCGUUUGAGAGACUGUGCUGUUCCAAUAGCUUAUGUCACACAGGUAUAUGCAUAACCUAAUUAAUAAUAUAGUCCGUACAAUAUAGAUACUGUUGCAAUUCAUUAUCUACAUCGGAGAUCUAAGUUGUAAAUAAUAUUUCUUCUGAUUGUUAAUUGUAAAGGAUAGAAAAAUUACCUUUUAAUUUAUUUUCUUUUAGAAUCAGCUGAGAGAAGUGGUCUACAAAAAACCAGAAAGGAAACGGAAUAUGUGGCUACGAAAAGCAAAAGAAAGGUUUACAAAGCAAAUGUGACACAUUUUUUUAUAAUAUUUAGGAAUGUCAGUAAAUUACAUUAAAAAAUGUAUGUAAAGAUUUUUAGCAAUAAAAAUGUUUAUA